GAUUAGAUACCCCACUAUGCUUAGCCCUAAACCCAGAUAUUUAACACACAAAAAUAUCCGCCAGAGAACUACGAGCAUAACGCUUAAAACUCUAAGGACUUGGCGGUGCCUUAAACCCCCCUAGAGGAGCCUGUUCUAUAAUCGAUAAUCCACGAUCCACCUCACCAUCUCUUGCCAGUACCGCCUAUAUACCGCCGUCACUAGCCUACCCUAUGAAGGAUAUAAAAGUAAGCAAAACAGCCAACAAUAGCUAAUAAGUCAGGUCAAGGUGUAGCUAACUGAGAUGGAAGAAAUGGGCUACAUUUUCUAAACUAGAAAUUAUCUCACGGAAAGAACCAUGAAACAAGCUCUACAAGCAGGAUUUAGCAGUAAACAAGGAUUAGAAUGCCCAAUUUAAGCCGGUCCUAAGGCACGCACACACCGCC
rnacentral:rRNA from 1 species